rnacentral:lncRNA from 1 species
UGAGUCUAAACAUAUGUAAACAAUGUGUACACAUACAAACAAUUAGUGAAGCAUACAACCAUCAUUAUAAUAGAACAUACAGUAAAUCACGGCAUUACAGCCCUUGGUAUUACAAUUUUUUUACAUGACAUGCUCAUAUGAAACAGUGCAAAGGUCCUACCCAUCCAUUUGCUGCAAACUACGGGUUUCUAGUACUCGUCAUCUGAUACACCAAAACAGUAAGAGUCGUAGCUCAAUAUGGAUGAACAAUCAGUAACAAUAUGCAGUUAAACUGUCAAUAAUUUGGCGACAAGCUGCUAGUAAGUUGCGGACCAAUACUCCAAAGGUUGCAGAUUAACUGCUAGUGCAAUAAUGCCGAUAAACUGUCAAACUCCACGGAACUCCUUCGUCACCAAUCAAUCCCCAAGCCCCAUGCAAUGCAAUAUGUCAUACCAAUAACGUAGCAUAUCAUGCUAGUCAUUGACAAUAUCAAUAGCAGUGGUAUGCUUAACAUGCUUUCAGUUUAUCACUAUCAGUGAUAUGUUUUACAUGCACUUGAUAUGUACAGUAAAAAUCAGUGGCCUGCUUUUACAUGUAAACAAUAAGCAAUAAAACAUCAUACAUCCCAAUAGACAUACAAUCAAAUAAUUCAUAUGACACUUACACACCCAAUUAACCACAAUUAAAGGCCUUUAAACAUUCAACCAUCACUUCUUAACACCUACUAUGUUUGACAGUCCCUUAUCUAACACAAGGCCACUCAGCCAUGUACAAAAAUAGCAUGCACAAUCAGCCAUCAUGCAUAACACAUACUUUCAAUAAUCAUCAAUACACCCAAAGUUAGGAACCAUACCUGAAAACACAAUUUGAAACACUAAAACUAAUCCACAACUCCUAUGUCUUAAAUCUGACUAAAUCUCAUUUAGAUUUGUACCUAACACGAAGAAAUUACACAUCAGAAUCAACCAUAAAACACCCUAUAGGGUUUAGCCAAAUCAGGGAAACAAACCAAAAUUUCAUAUCUGAGUUUCCAAGAUCACUCACACUUCUACUAAUUAAACGAAAGAUGCGUACGGCCCCAAACUUCACUGGAGAUCUGAAGAAAUUUAGGGUCUGGACUUUUGACAAAGAAAAAAUCAUGAAAUUAGCACAUGAGAAAUUCGACCAUAGGCCCUGUAGUAUUCAACCAUCAUAGGAAAAGGAAAGAAAACAAAGAGAGGGUGGUAGGUUUCUAAUGGAGGACAACAACAAUGGUGGUUGUUCACUAGAGCGAUGGCAACAAUGUAAGAAAGAAGAAGAGUAUGGGAGAAAAUUAGGACUUAGGGGGCGACACAAUGAAAAAAAAAGAAAGGAAAAGAAAAUUGGGGAAAAUGAGAGAAAAGAGAAGAGAGGGAAAAAAUAAUCAAAAGAGGUUGAACAAAAAAUAAAAUACAAUUUAUACCUAGGGUUACAACAUGGGACGACACAACUAGGGUUCUAUGCAAAA